rnacentral:rRNA from 1 species
UGGGGAAUAUUGGACAAUGGGCGAAAGCCUGAUCCAGCAACGCCGCGUGGAGGAUGAAGGCCCUCGGGUCGUAAACUCCUGUCAGGCGGGACGAAAGAGCCAAGGCAAAUAGUCUUGGCUUCUGACGGUACCGUCGGAGGAAGCACCGGCUAAUUUCGUGCCAGCAGCCGCGGUAAUACGAAAGGUGCGAGCGUUAAUCGGAAUUACUGGGCGUAAAGAGUUCGUAGGCGGUUUGUCGCGUCGUUUGUGAAAACCAGCAGCUCAACUGCUGGCUUGCAGGCGAUACGGGCAGACUUGAGUACUGCAGGGGAGACUGGAAUUCCUGGUGUAGCGGUGAAAUGCGCAGAUAUCAGGAGGAACACCGGUGGCGAAGGCGGGUCUCUGGGCAGUAACUGACGCUGAGGAACGAAAGCGUGGGUAGCGAACAGGAUUAGAUACCCUGGUAGUCCACGCCGUAAACGGUGGGCGCUAGGUGUGGGUUCCUUCCACGGAAUCCGUGCCGUAGCUAACGCAUUAAGCGCCCCGCCUGGGGAGUACGGCCGCAAGGCUA